rnacentral:rRNA from 1 species
AUAGCCGACCUGAGAGGGUGAUCGGCCACACUGGAACUGAGACACGGUCCAGACUCCUACGGGAGGCAGCAGUAGGGAAUCUUCCGCAAUGGGCGAAAGCCUGACGGAGCAACGCCGCGUGAGUGAUGAAGGUCUUCGGAUCGUAAAACUCUGUUAUUAGGGAAGAACAUAUGUGUAAGUAACUGUGCACAUCUUGACGGUACCUAAUCAGAAAGCCACGGCUAACUACGUGCCAGCAGCCGCGGUAAUACGUAGGUGGCAAGCGUUAUCCGGAAUUAUUGGGCGUAAAGCGCGCGUAGGCGGUUUUUUAAGUCUGAUGUGAAAGCCCACGGCUCAACCGUGGAGGGUCAUUGGAAACUGGAAAACUUGAGUGCAGAAGAGGAAAGUGGAAUUCCAUGUGUAGCGGUGAAAUGCGCAGAGAUAUGGAGGAACACCAGUGGCGAAGGCGACUUUCUGGUCUGUAACUGACGCUGAUGUGCGAAAGCGUGGGGAUCAAACAGGAUUAGAUACCCUGGUAGUC